GUUUGGUACAAUAGCACACGCCUUCUCUCCACAUUUCCUCCUCUUUCUUCUUCUUCUCCGUAGCUCUCCAACUCUGAGUGAGAGUGAGAGAGAGAGAGAGAGAAGCGAAAGGAAGAAUGGAGGUUUUCUACUACAUGGUGUUCGGAGUGAUGGCUGCCGUAGUGGCGGGUUUGGAGCUGAGCAAGACAAACAAGGAUCGGAUCAACACUUCUUCUUCCUUCAAUUCCUUCAAGAACAAUUACCUCGUCGUCUUCUCUAUCAUGAUGGCUGGGGAUUGGCUUCAGGGACCUUAUGUGUAUUACCUCUACAGCACUUAUGGUUUCGGCAAAGGAGAUAUUGGUCAGCUUUUUAUUGCCGGUUUUGGCUCCUCCAUGUUGUUUGGAACCAUUGUUGGAUCUCUCGCUGACAAACAGGGUCGAAAGAGGGCAUGUGUUACAUACUGCAUAGUUUACAUAUUGAGCUGCAUCACCAAGCACUCUCCACAGUACAGAGUUUUGAUGGUCGGUCGUAUCUUGGGUGGUAUUGCUACAUCUCUCUUGUUUUCAGCCUUUGAAUCUUGGCUCAUUGCAGAGCACAACAAGAGGAACUUUGACCAACAGUGGCUGUCACUGACAUUCUCUAAGGCUGUUUUCCUCGGGAAUGGUCUGGUCGCUAUUCUCUCCGGGUUGUUUGGAAAUCUACUUGUCGACACUUUCUCGUUUGGCCCUGUAGCUCCCUUUGACGCCGCUGCAUGCAUUCUUGCGAUUGGAAUGGCCAUCAUAUUGACAACAUGGUCGGAGAAUUAUGGAGAUCCAUCGGACAGUAAAGAUCUACUGACUCAAUUCAAAGUUGCUGCCAUAGCCAUAGCUUCAGAUGAGAAGAUUGCAUUGCUAGGUGCUAUCCAAUCUCUAUUUGAAGCCUCUAUGUACACAUUUGUUUUCCUGUGGACACCAGCUCUGUCCCCAAACGACGAAGAAAUUCCACAUGGCUUCGUCUUUGCGACCUUCAUGUUGGCCUCCAUGUUGGGAAGCUCUCUUGCAGCUCGUCUAAUGGCUCGUUCAUCUCUCAGAGUCGAAAACUACAUGCAAAUUGUCUUUCUAGUCUCCGCUGCUUCUCUUCUGCUUCCCAUUACAACGAGUGUCUUGGUGACGCCAUCAAAGGUGAAAGAAGAAGGCUUGUCGUUGACUUGCUCCAUUCAGCUACUUGGUUUCUGUGUUUUCGAGGCUUGUGUUGGAAUCUUUUGGCCAUCGAUCAUGAAGAUGAGAUCACAAUAUAUACCUGAAGAAGCAAGAAGCACCAUAAUGAACUUCUUCCGUGUUCCGCUCAACAUAUUUGUCUGCAUCGUCUUGUACAACGUUGAUGCAUUUCCGAUCACAAUCAUGUUUGGUAUGUGCUCAAUCUUCCUCUUCGUAGCUUCCAUAUUACAACGGCGGCUUAUGGUCAUCUCCGAAAAGCCAAAGGGAGAAGAGUGGAGUCCAAUGAAGGAUCGAAACUCUGAAGUUGAUCCUCUUACCCUCUGAUCAUUUUCCACUUUUUUUUUUGGUUAAUUGAUUCGCCGAAUCAUUGAAAAAUAGAAAAAGAAACAGUCCAAAUGAAGAAAGAUGACCUCGCGUAUAAAGACCAUAGGAACGGUUAAGGAUGCACUAAAGGGAAGAAAAACUACACACCAGUGAUGAUACUUCUCGGCUUAAGCUCUAAAAAUAUAUUGGAAUUGGUUUUAAAAUAAGUUAAUAUAAAAAAUUUAAACUCUUUUAUGAAGUGUUUUCUGCCCAAUAAAAUUCAAAUGUUUUUGUUGUGUGUUUUAUUAUACAAUUUUUUAAUUUUAAAUUAUGAGAUCAUGGUAUGAGUUA